rnacentral:rRNA from 1 species
UACGGAGGGUGCAAGCGUUAUCCGGAUUCACUGGGUUUAAAGGGUGCGUAGGUCGGUUGGUAAGUCAGUGGUGAAAUCCCCGAGCUUAACUUGGGAACUGCCAUUGAUACUAUCAGUCUUGAAUACCGUGGAGGUCAGCGGAAUAUGUCAUGUAGCGGUGAAAUGCUUAGAUAUGACAUAGAACACCAAUUGCGAAGGCAGCUGGCUACACGAAUAUUGACACUGAGGCACGAAAGCGUGGGGAUCAAACAGG